rnacentral:pre_miRNA from 1 species
CAUGUACUCCCUCCGUCCAAAAAUACUUGUCAUCAAAAUGGAUAAAAAGAGAUGUAUCUAGAACUAAAAUACGUCUAGAUACAUCCCCUUUUAUUCAUUUUAAUGACAAGUAUUUCCGGACGGAGGGAGUAUUAG